rnacentral:snoRNA from 1 species
GACUCUCAAAUUAAUUAAUUUUUUGAGUAGGAAUCUCACUCUGCCACCCAUGAGAA